ensembl:lncRNA
GGGGGUACCGGUACAGAGUCAAUGUGGAGGCUAUAUACAGGGGGUACCGGUACAGAGUCAAUGUGGAGGCUAUAUACUGGGGGUACCGGUACAGAGUCAAUGUGGAGGCUAUAUACAGGGGGUACCGGUACAGAGUCAAUGUGGAGGCUAUAUACAGGGGGUACCGGUACAGAGUCAAUGUGGAGGCUAUAUACAGGGGGUACCAGUACAGAGUCAAUGUGGAGGCUAUAUACAGGGGGUACCGGUACAGAGUCAAUGUGGAGGCUAUAUACAGGGUAUUACGGUACAGAGUCAAUGUGGAGGCUAUAUA